ensembl:lncRNA
CUCCCUUCCUCACCCGAUCACUGCAGGGACAGACAAGGACCAUCCAUAGGCGGACCAGUGUACUGGGAGUUAAAGAGCAAAUGCUUUAGUUCCGGGUACCUGUCUGGAAGAGAAGAAGAACUACAUUCCCCAAGAGCCUUUUCGAGUACUGUUAUCAUUCCUGCUCAAGGGAACAGAUAUAAGGGCGCAGGUCAUCUGACUUGCCCCUCUUCUCAUCUCGCCGUGUUCCCUGUCAGAUCGGCUCGCUACUGCUGCGCCCGACUGCACGCAAGGCUUCAGUAUUAGCAUUGUUGCCGCUGUUUUUAAUUAUUUUGGGGUCACCUGUUUCCCUUCCUGGAGACGUGGAUUUUGUGAAAUCCCUCCGCCCCACUAGUCGCGGAACCGGGCC